UACGACACAGGAAGGCAUCUUCUCUGUGUGGAAAGCUCCGGCGGUGCAGGAUGAGCCCGCGGCCUAUCAGCUUGUUGGUGGGGUGAUGGCCUACCAAGGCGACGACGGGUAGCCGGCCUGAGAGGGCGACCGGCCACACUGGGACUGAGACACGGCCCAGACUCCUACGGGAGGCAGCAGUGGGGAAUAUUGCACAAUGGGCGAAAGCCUGAUGCAGCGACGCCGCGUGAGGGAUGACGGCCUUCGGGUUGUAAACCUCUUUCAGCAGGGAAGAAGCGCAAGUGACGGUACCUGCAGAAGAAGCACCGGCUAACUACGUGCCAGCAGCCGCGGUAAUACGUAGGGUGCGAGCGUUGUCCGGAAUUAUUGGGCGUAAAGAGCUCGUAGGCGGCUUGUCACGUCGGAUGUGAAAGCCCGGGGCUUAACCCCGGGUCUGCAUUCGAUACGGGCAGGCUAGAGUUCGGUAGGGGAGAUCGGAAUUCCUGGUGUAGCGGUGAAAUGCGCAGAUAUCAGGAGGAACACCGGUGGCGAAGGCGGAUCUCUGGGCCGAUACUGACGCUGAGGAGCGAAAGC
rnacentral:rRNA from 1 species